GACGAACGCUGGCGGCGUGCUUAACACAUGCAAGUCGAACGGAAAGGCCCUGCUUUUGUGGGGUGCUCGAGUGGCGAACGGGUGAGUAACACGUGAGUAACCUGCCCUUGACUUUGGGAUAACUUCAGGAAACUGGGGCUAAUACCGGAUAGGAGCUCCUGCUGCAUGGUGGGGGUUGGAAAGUUUCGGCGGUUGGGGAUGGUCUCGCGGCUUAUCAGCUUGUUGGUGGGGUAGUGGCUUACCAAGGCUUUGACGGGUAGCCGGCCUGAGAGGGUGACCGGCCACAUUGGGACUACGAUACGGCCCAGUAUCGUACGGGAGGCAACAGUGGAGAGUAUUGCACAGUGGGCGGAAGCCUGAUGCAGCAACGCCGCGUGCGGGAUGACGGCCUUCGGGUUGUAAACCGCUGUCGCCUGUGACGAAGCGUGAGUGACGGUAAUGGGUAAAGAAGCACCGGCUAACUACGUG
rnacentral:rRNA from 1 species